UGAUCCCGGGUAGCGAGCUGAAGCCCUUCGGGGCGGACGCUCGUGGAACGAGCGGCGGACGGGUGAGUAACACGUGGGCAACCUGCCUGUAAGACCGGAAUAACCCCGGGAAACCGGGGCUAAUGCCGGGUAACCAAUCGGUUCUCCUGAACCGAUUGUAAAAGGAUGGCUUCUUGCUAUCGCUUACAGAUGGGCCCGCGGCGCAUUAGCUAGUUGGUAAGGUAACGGCUUACCAAGGCGACGAUGCGUAGCCGACCUGAGAGGGUGAUCGGCCACACUGGGACUGAGACACGGCCCAGACUCCUACGGGAGGCAGCAGUAGGGAAUCUUCCGCAAUGGACGAAAGUCUGACGGAGCAACGCCGCGUGAACGAUGAAGGCUUUCGGGUCGUAAAGUUCUGUUGUGAGGGAAGAACAAGGACCGUGCGAAUAGAACGGUCCCUUGACGGUACCUCACGAGGAAGCCCCGGCUAACUACGUGCCAGCAGCCGCGGUAAUACGUAGGGGGCAAGCGUUGUCCGGAAUUAUUGGGCGUAAAGCGCACGCAGGCGGUUCCUUAAGUCUGAUGUGAAAGCCCGUGGCUCAACCACGGAGGGCCAUUGGAAACUGGGGAACUUGAGAACUGAAGAGGAGAGUGGAAUUCCACGUGUAGCGGUGAAAUGCGCAGAUAUC
rnacentral:rRNA from 1 species